AACCUGGUUGAUCCUGCCAGUAGUCAUAUGCUUGUCUCAAAGAUUAAGCCAUGCAUGUGUAAGCACACACUGUUUUAAAAGUGAAGCCGCGAAUGGCUCAUUACAACAGCCACAGUUUAUUAGAACUUACAAUCAUGGAUAACUGUGGUAAUUCUAGAGCUAAUACACGCACAAAAACUUCAACUGAAUUGGUUGAAGUGCUUUUAUUAGAACAAAAACCGAACGGCGUUUGGCGAAUGUUGAACGUCGAAACUGUUUGGUGAAUCUGAAUAACUAUUUCUGAUCGCAUGGUCUAGCACCGGCGACAUCACUUUCAAGUGUCUGCCUUAUCAACCCUCGAUGGUAGUCUAUGCGACUACCAUGGUGAUAACGGGUAACGGAGAAUCAGGGUUCGACUCCGGAGAGGGAGCCUGAGAAACGGCUACCACAUCCAAGGAAGGCAGCAGGCGCGCAAAUUACCCACUCCCAGCUUGGGGAGGUAGUGACGAAAAAUAACGAGACGAUUCUCGUUUGAGAAACGUUAUCGAAAUGAGCACGCUUUACACACGCUAACGAGUAGCAAUUGGAGGGCAAGUCUGGUGCCAGCAGCCGCGGUAAUUCCAGCUCCAAUAGCGUAUAUUAAAGUUGCUGCGGUUAAAACGCUCGUAGUUGAAUUGUGGUCUUAGACAACAGUCCCCCUACAUAGGUGUGGCACGGUUGCUCGAGAUCUUCAUUCGUGGUUGCUGUUGUUGCUCUUCAUUGAGUGUCAAUGGUGCCUCGAGAUUUUACUUUGAAAAAAUUAGAGUGCUCAAAGCAGGUUGUGAUGCCUGAAUAAUGGUGCAUGGAAUAAUAGAAUACGAUCUCGGUUCUAUUUUGUUGGUUUUCGAACCGGAGAUAAUGAUUGAAAGGAACAGACGGGGGCAUUCGUAUUGCUGCGUUAGAGGUGAAAUUCUUGGAUCGCAGCAAGAUGAACAAUUGCGAAAGCAUUUGCCAAGAAUGUUUUCAUUAAUCAAGAACGAAAGUUAGAGGUUCGAAGGCGAUCAGAUACCGCCCUAGUUCUAACGGUAAACUAUGCCAACCAGCGAUUCGCCGAAGUUCAUUUAAGACUCGGCGAGCAGCUUCCGGGAAACCAAAGUGUUUCGGUUCCGGGGGAAGUAUGGUUGCAAAGCUGAAACUUAAAGGAAUUGACGGAAGGGCACCACCAGGAGUGGAGCCUGCGGCUUAAUUUGACUCAACACGGGAAAACUCACCCGGCCCGGACACUGGAAGGAUUGACAGAUUGACAGCUCUUUCUUGAUUCAGUGGGUAGUGGUGCAUGGCCGUUCUUAGUUGGUGGAGCGAUUUGUCUGGUUAAUUCCGAUAACGAACGAGACUCUACCCUAUUAAAUAGUGACAGUAUUGUAUUUUUUGUGCUGAUCACUUCUUAGAGGGACUGGCAAAUUGAAAGCUGCACGAAAAAGAGCAAUAACAGGUCUGUGAUGCCCUUCGAUGUCCGGGGCUGCACGCACGCUACAAUGAAAGCGUCAACGUGAGUUACGUCCUUACCUGAAAAGGUUUGGCAAUCGAAUGAAACGUUUUCUUGAAUGGAAUAGGGAAUUGCAAUUGUUUCCCUUGAACGAGGAAUUCCCAGUAAGCGUGAGUCAUUAGCUCGCGUUGAUUACGUCCCUGCCCUUUGUACACACCGCCCGUCGCUACUACCGAUUGGAUGAUUUAGUGAGGUGUUUUGACUGGCGCCAGUAGUCGGAUGUAUUCGGCUUCGCGCCGGGAAAUUUCCCAAACCAAAUCAUCUAGAGGAAGUAAAAGUCGUAACAAGGUUUCCGUAGGUGAACCUGCGGAAGGAUCAUUA
rnacentral:rRNA from 1 species